ACGCCUACGGGGGGCAGCAGUGGGGAAUAUUGCACAAUGGGGGAAACCCUGAUGCAGCGACGCCGCGUGAGUGAAGAAGUAAUUCGUUAUGUAAAGCUCUAUCAGCAGGGAAGAAAAUGACGGUACCUGAGUAAGAAGCCCCGGCUAACUACGUGACAGCAGCCGCGGUAAUACGUAGGGGGCAAGCGUUAUACGGAUUUACUGGGUGUAAAGGGAGCGAAGACGGAAGUGCAAG
rnacentral:rRNA from 1 species